rnacentral:rRNA from 1 species
AUGUCAGUUACGACAUACGAGAAUGUUGUACCCACAAGCCCAAAGUUUCAGAAUUUGACAACUAUAUCAGAACUUUGUCAACGACUUGCAUCUAGUGGAAAAUCAGAUGAAUAUUACUUGAUUGACAGACUCAUUCGGCUUGUUCUUACUUUACCGAUUUCAACGGCAACGACAGAACAUGCAUUUUCUGCCAUGAAACUUGUGAAGACAAGGCUUCGGGAUAAAAUGGAAGAUGAAUUUCUAAGGGACUGCUUGCUAAUUUAUAUUGAAAAGGAGAUUGCUGUUGGAAUAUCAACAGAUGCAAUUAUAGAUGAGUCCGCUGAACCACCACGUCGAGUGCCAUUUAGUUGA